rnacentral:rRNA from 1 species
GAUGAACGCUGGCGGCGUGCCUAAUACAUGCAAGUCGAGCGAACGGACGAGAAGCUUGCUUCUCUGAUGUUAGCGGCGGACGGGUGAGUAACACGUGGAUAACCUACCUAUAAGACUGGGAUAACUUCGGGAAACCGGAGCUAAUACCGGAUAAUAUUUUGAACCGCAUGGUUCAAAAGUGAAAGACGGUCUUGCUGUCACUUAUAGAUGGAUCCGCGCUGCAUUAGCUACUUGGUAAGGUAAAGGCUUACCAAGGCAACGAUGCAUAGCCGACCUAGGAGGGUGAUCGGCCACACUGGAACUGAGACACGGUCCAGACUCCUACGGGAGGCAGCAGUAGGGAAUCUUCCGCAAUGGGCGAAAGCCUGACGGAGCAACGCCGCGUGAGUGAUGAAGGUCUUCGGAUCGUAAAACUCUGUUAUUAGGGAAGAACAUAUGUGUAAGUAACUGUGCACAUCUUGACGGUACCUAAUCAGAAAGCCACGGCUAACUACGU